UCGCUCCUGCGGCGACCUCUAAUCCACACUCAACACCUCCCUCCUCCAACCUCUCCUUGCGUUAGUCGCCCCUGCAACACCACCUUCAUCGACUCGCUCCGGCGGCAAUACUGAACCCACUUCCCCCAGUUGAGCCUAUACAUGAAGAUUAUAAUGAUGGCCAGUCAAGUGAUAGUGAUGAAUCGGUGGAUGGCGAUUCUAGUUCCUCCAAAUAAUUUUUAUCAAGUGGAUAGCUAUUUUUGGUUUAAUGCUCUGUAACAAAUUGAUUUAAAAGAUAUUGUUGACACUACUAUUUUUGUUGAUAAUGUAGCUUUUGUUGACACUAUUGAAAAACCUUGUUAUGGUGGUAUAGCUCUUGUUCCUUUU